rnacentral:tRNA from 1 species
GCCGGAGUGGCGGAACUGGUAGACGCGCUGGAUUCAAAAUCCAGUGGGCGAAAGCUUGUGAGGGUUCGAGUCCCUCCUCCGGUA